GACGAACGCUGGCGGCGUGCUUAACACAUGCAAGUCGAACGAUGAAGAAAAGAAUUGAAGCUUCGGCAGAAAUUCAUUUCGGAUUAGUGGCAGACGGGUGAGUAACGCGUGAGCAACCUACCUCUUACAAAGGGAUAGCCUCGGGAAACCGGGAUUAAUACCAUAUAACAUUGCGACGAAGCAUUUCGAUGCAAUCAAAGCUACGGCGGUAAGAGAUGGGCUCGCGUCCCAUUAACCAGAUGGUGAGGUAACGGCUCACCAUAGUAACGAUGGGUAACCGGCCUGAGAGGGUGAACGGUCACACUGGAACUGAGACACGGUCCAGACUCCUACGGGAGGCAGCAGUGGGGAAUAUUGCACAAUGGAGGGAACUCUGAUGCAGCGACGCCGCGUGAGUGAUGAAGGAAUUCGUUUCGUAAAACUCUGUUCUAUGGGAAGAAAAGGACUGUACCAUAGGAGAAAGCCCCGGCUAACUACGUGCCAGCCGCCGCGGUAA
rnacentral:rRNA from 2 species